rnacentral:rRNA from 1 species
GAUGAACGCUGGCGGCGUGCUUAACACAUGCCAGUCGAACGAUGAAGCCCAGCUUGCUGGGUGGAUUAGUGGCGAACGGGUGAGUAACACGUGAGUAACCUGCCCUUGACUCUGGGAUAAGCGCUGGAAACGGCGUCUAAUACCGGAUACGAGCUUCCACCGCAUGGUGAGUUGCUGGAAAGAAUUUCGGUCAAGGAUGGACUCGCGGCCUAUCAGGUAGUUGGCGAGGUAACGGCUCACCAAGCCGACGACGGGUAGCCGGCCUGAGAGGGUGACCGGCCACACUGGGACUGAGACACGGCCCAGACUCCUACGGGAGGCAGCAGUGGGGAAUAUUGCACAAUGGGCGCAAGCCUGAUGCAGCAACGCCGCGUGAGGGACGAAGGCCUUCGGGUCGUAAACCUCUUUUAGCAGGGAAGAAGCGAAAGUGACGGUACCUGCAGAAAAAGCACCGGCUAACUACGUG